GUCUGCAGCCCUCCCCUUCUAGUCUCGCCCAGACUUCCUGUGCCUGUCCAAUUACAGACUUCCCAAUGAAGAUCAAUGAAAAGUGUUUGCAAGGUUGGUGUUCUGGGUAAUUGCUGUAUCUUACGUUUACCUCCACUAAGCUAAACAAACCAGGAAGUAACAGGACAGAUUGUCUGAUUGAAAGCCAGGGGGUGUAAUAAGAAGAUUAAUUUAUAAAAUGCUAUUUUUUGUUGAAAUCUGCACUUUUUGUGCACACGAAAGUGCUUUAGGGGUCUGGAGUGUCCCUUUAAAGCUUGCUGAAGUGUUUCAUGGAUGAGGAGAAUACUUUUUGCAAGCUCCCUUAAGGUAUACUCCUAGUCAAUAUAUGCACGCAUGUAUUUGUUGGGGGCUUAUCUACUAAACCAUAAUUUUGUUUUUUAUUUUUUACUAAUUUGCAGUGUGGAGUGUUUCUUUAAUUAUUAGCCACAGUAUGAAAGAAACUACAACUUCAAUUAUUGGAAGAGCACACAUGCUGUUGAUUAGCAAAAUGUAAUGAAUUGUAGGAUUCUGAAAAAUGUUCGUAAACAGUACUAUACUGGAAAUCCUAACUAGUUAUCAUAUUAAAGACAAGUCAGAGCCUGUGCUCCAGGAUUAGAGAGAUGAUUCUCUACAUUUUUUUUCCAAAGGUGAAAUUUAAAUUGUUUUAGAUUUUGAUAAGUGAAGAAAUUGGUGUUUGAUAUUUUUUUUUUAUUCUUUAUUUUUGUUGUGUAUGUAGAAAUACAGAUUUGCACAAGAUACAAAUAGAACAGUAAACUGGUUGGUCAAAUACAAACUAGUGUAUAUAGGAAUCAUCACACAUUUUUGUUUUCGCCUUGUUUUGUUUUUGUUUUGUUAUUGUCUUCGUGUUGCGUGUGUGAGAGUACAGGUUUGCACAAUAUACAUAUAUGACAGGAAAAACGGUUUGUCAAAUAUAAACGGUUGUGUAUGGAAAUUAACACACUUUUUUUUGUGUUUUGUUUAGUUUAUCCCCCCGUUGUCGGUUGUGUUGUAGCGUGAUGAGUUUAGCAGAGAUUUAGGAAGACUUUUGCCAUAGAGUCUGAAUGAUAAGUGAGGUAUAGUGGUGAUGGGUAAGGGCCCUCCAGGUUGUGGUCUUUGUUUGCUGUGGCCCCUUCCCUGACCCUAGAGAGGCCGAGUGACAUGCCAGACACACCCCCCACAGCCAGGCAGAGACUCCACCUGUGACGUCUCUCCAUAUGUUUGGUGCACUGUGUCUGUGUGGAUAGGUUAAGUGUGGGUCAGUAGUGCUGUUGUGGUGUACGCCUCUGGUAUGCCUCGCUUGUGAGCUGGACUGGCUUCUGUGCCUUGGUCGCCUAUAUGUGGUUUGUUGUUCUGUCGUGGUUGCGAGUUUUUUUUUUUGUUAGCGACGUCUUGGCUUUUGUUUAGAGGUCGCGCAUGGUUCAUGCACCUUCAAUGCAUUGCUACCUAGUGUCAUGGUAAUCUUAUUGGGGGGUCUAUGGUGUCACAACAACUUCCUCCUGUCUGUGGUCGUCUGGUAUAGUGUUUGAGUUGUGGUUCCCGGUGGGCCUAGCUGUGCUAGUGGGCUAUGGCCCGGUAUAAGAAAAGGUAGUAGGCUCUGGACUAAAUCAUCGCCAAGCUUCUGUUUGGUACUAUGUCAGAGUACUAUCAGUGUAGUGGUAUAACGUUAUUGGGCUUCCAUGCCCACGGUGCCCGGAUGUCGUGUGGUCCUCCCCCCUGCGUCCUGAGGGAAUAUUGUGCACCCCUAGCCCGAAGGUCUGCGGCCCCCCUCCCUGUUUGGUGCUGUUUUGAAAGUUAAGUGUCAUAUUGUUCCCGGUGUUUGAUGAUUUUAAACCUUUCUGAAGCAUGAAUCAUAAAUAUGAUUGGAAAAUGGACAGGAGAACUCUAAACAGCUGAUAUAUGUGGUGCUUAUAUUCAAAUUAAUAGUUUAAAUGGGUUUAGAUUUAGAGCCCUGUUAUCAAUGCUUGACAGAAAAAUAAUUACAGCAAUUUUAAUUCCAUAAUUUACUGUAUUUGCUGUUGUCUGUGGACUGGUGCCUAUUUUAAGCUUAACUUGCGUAACACAAAUAGUAAUGUUUUUUUAGGCACUAUCCUAAUGCAACCAGUUUAAUCUAGGAGUUAAAGGUAAACUAAAGUGGUUUGUUUUCCUGGCACUAUAGUGCCCCCCUCUUCUGUCACUUACCUGAUUCCAGCACCAAUGUCCCUCCGACUCCGCUGGUCCCGCUCGCAUUAGGACUUUCUUCAUAAGAAAGCAUUGUAUAAUGCUUUCCUAUGAGGUUUUGGGUGAUGCUGUAUAUCUUAAUGCAUAGCGUGAGGACAUCCAGAUUCAGUUAGGCGACCAAAAGUCAGCUAACGACCUGAAAGUAUCUCUAGUGACUGUCUGGUAGACAGCUAAUAGAGGUGGAGUUAACCCUCAAAGAUAAUUAUUGCAGUUUAUUAAAAACAGCAAUAAUUCCCAUUGCAGGGUUAAGGGACCUGUGACACUGCACCCAGACCAUUUCAAAGAGCUGAAGUGGUCUGGGUGCAUAUAGUAUUCCUUUAACUCAAAAAGGGGCUGAUGCAUAAAUUAAAAUGAACCUCUAAAUAAUUUGUACUUCUAUGCAACUUACCUGUGGUUUGAUAAAGCAAAGGGUUAUACGCAAAUCCAGACAUGCAACCCUUGUUUACUGGUUUGAAAGAAUAAAUUACAUUUCAAUAAUAAAGCAAGGUGAAGGCUGGAAUUGGUUUUUGAUGUUUGUGGUUUAUUUUUAUUUUCUGUUUUAAAUGGUGCUAUGUUGUUUUUUCAACAGUGUCAGACAGAUAUGUUUCUUUGAGAUAACCCUGAUUGGAAUUCUAUUUUAUAGUACAUUUAUGCAAUGCAAAAAAAAAUCCCACCUACUUUCUCGUCUGCUUAUAUGUUGGUUCUGGCCAGGUGUAUAAACUAAUAUAACAUGAAUAUUACAUAAACAAGUUGUAUCAGAGCAGUUUAAAGUGAACCUGUCACGCAAUUUUUUUCAAUGGUUUAAAUCACACCCAAAUACACUGAAUACAUCGUGUAUUACAAAUAAACAUUUUGCAUUCAAGAUCAAUUUUUGAGAAAUACCAACCUUACCAACACCCCGUUACCCCAUCUCCAUGGGUGUUACCCUUCUUGGAACACCCACCUCAAGUCCGCACCUUGCUCCUUCUGCUCUCUUCUUUUAGGACAAACCUUCUGUGUGAUUCUGUUUUUUCUCCCAAUAUAUACAUUUGCUUGCAAACCUGCUAGAACAAUGUAUAGAUAAAAAUGUAUGAUCUUUCAAAAAGAGUAUAAGUGAAAAUAGUCAUGGCAGUUACCCUUUAAAGGGGAUGAUACAAAAGAUAUAAUAGAAACAAAUGCAGCAAAAUCGAUAAAAAUAAAGUGUCUUAAAGGGACAAAGUAACACAUGGUUAUAAGAGCUGGAUAACUUACUGACAUAGAGGACACAGCAAAUACACAAUGUCACUCAGCAACCAGUGGAAAAAAGAACCAGAAGGAAUAGGUUUGAUCGAAUAGGCCGGAAGACCCCUUGUAGGUAGUUGGAACAAUCUGUGAACAUCCCUUGGUUUUUUGAGAGAGUGGAACCAUACCAUAUAAUGGAACACAGAAUUUGGCAAUACCGUUUCAAAAACAGAUAAGGUUGCUAAUAGAUAUAGAUGCCAAGGAAGCAAACAGGCUAGCAAUGUCAAUUGUGCUAUAAGGAAACCUGAGCCCAAUACAAUAUUCAAUAAGAGACAUUCUGCCAGACUGGCUAUAUAUAAUCUUUAGGUGGGAAAGAAAAGGUAAUCAGACACUUGGCGCUUAUGAAAGACUUAAAGAACCACUAAAGCUAGCCAGGACACUUCAUCAAAAUGAAGUGGUCUGGGUGCAGUGGUUCUGUCAAUUUAACCAUUCAAUGUAAAACAUUGCCAUUUUGCAGAAACAACAGUGGUUACAUUGAGCGGUUAAACAGAGCUUCAGGGGUGUUACACUUCUGCUGCAAUAAAACUUGGUUACAUUACGUCAAUAAAGGAGGAGACUAUAUUUACAUCAGUAAAGGAGAAGGCUAUAUUAAAUAGAAGAAAAACUACCACAACAAGAGGAUAUAGUCUUAAGUCAGAGGGGCAAAGGUUUAAAAAUAAUAUCAGGAAGUAUUCCUUUACUGAGAGGGUUGUGGAUGCAUGGAAUAGCCUUUCAGCUGAAGUGGUAGAGGUUAACACAGUAAAGGAGUUUAAGCAUGCGUGGGUUAGACAUAAGGCUAUCCUAGAAAUAAGAUAAGGCCAGGCACUAAUGAAAGUAUUUAGAAAAUUGGGCAGACUAGGUGGGCUGAAUGGGUCUUAUCUGCCAUCCCAUUCUAGGUUUCUACGUGACGUUGCAACCCGCAUAGAAAAGUAUUGAGCAUUGGGAGGACGACCUACAUAACUAAUGACAGGGACACAAAUUUGUAUUUCCUAAUGCUUUAGUGUUCUGAUUACGUAUUCUGUUACUGGAGUUAUCUGUUCUGCAGGGUUUAAACUUACCUUGUACAAUUUACAAGAGAUGCACCUGGCGGGCAAAGUAUGCCUACACACAGGGUGAUCAUUAUUAUCGGGUCGCAAAAGUCAAGAGCAGUCACUUUACUUUGUUAAUUCAUUAUACAGAUAAAGUAUUAACAUACAAAGCUAUUCACUAACGUGAGAAUUAAAAGGUAAAAAUAGCCAAACUGGAACUAUUUAGAAGUUUGCUAUGCUUCCAGUUCCACUACUUUGGCCUUCAUUUUGAAAUGCACUUUGAAUUCGUACUUUAGUGAAUAACCCUGAAAUACUGAAACUAAUACUAAUAAAAAAACAAGUAGAAUAAAAGUAUACUCAUCUUCAAAGUUCCUGUAGCUGCACAGCCUUUGCCAACCAGAAAGAGGUACUAUCAAUCAGGAGCAUGUUGUUCUUAUCUAUGGUAUCUGCUCUAAUUCCAUAAAACUUGCUUCAAUAACAUAAGAUGAGCUGAAAUGCUUAGUAAACAGAUAGUAACCAUAUUGAUUUGUUUUCAGCCCAGCUCACAGUUUUGGGAACCAACUGGGGGAUUAUGGCCAGGCAAGUUCUCCCCCCGAACCACCAGGCUUGCAUAUGGAGCAGCCACUAGCGUUGUUCCGUCCUCACUUCUGGAGUGUGUGGCAUCAAGUGGUCAUAUGUCCAGCCUGAGUAGUCAUAUGUCCGACCCAGAAGGGGAAGCCCUUCAGGUUUUGCAUUGCCUGUAUUGACGGAUCUGGGGAAGAUAGCCUGGAUGGAGUAAGCCAGGAGACCCACAAUGCAAGCUAAAAGAUGGAAAGGAGUAGAUUCUCGCUGGAGAACUAUGCAAAUCUCCUUCCGGAUGGCCGUAAUCUUUGACACAGGCAGUCAAACACAAUUGACCAAAUUGAUCUUGAAACUUAGAAAUUGGAUGUAAAAGAGAAAGCACCGACUUCUCUCUUUUCACCACAAAGCCAAAAGGACUUGAAAAAAUGAACAGUAAACAUCGUCUGAGAUCGCAAUCGAGAAGCGGAAUUGCAAAAAAUCAAUAAAUGUCUAAGUAGAUAAGACAACGUACGGCCUCGGGGCACAGAAGACAUACAGCGGGAAGUACUGAGACCAAAUGGAAAGCAAGUGAAUUGGCAGGGAGGGCCCCGCCAGGAGAAACUGAGAAAGUGCUGACUCGCAGUGGCGACGGGAACUGAGAGACACGCAUCCUUCAGUUCAAAAUGAGUUAACUGGUAGAUGGAUGCCCUCCAUCCUGAAGUGUUGAUAGAGCACGAACUUGUUGAGAUGGUGUAAAUUGAUGAUAGGUCGGAAGUCUCCAGACUUCUUCUUUAUGAGGAAGAUGUUGCUGAACAAGCCACCAUCGUCCAAUGCAACUUGAAUUACGCCUUUGGAGAAAAGCAUAUUGAUCUCCAUGUUGAUGAGGAUUCCAUGAGCCAUGGAGACAUGUAAGCACCUGACUGGGUGGUGAAUGGAAUUCUAUUAUGAUCAUGGCCUGGACUUUCAAGAGUAGGCUGUAGAGAUUUGUCCAUAAAUACUACUGAACAAUUCCAGUCCUGUCCUUUUUUUGAGAAAAUAGCAAAAUGUCAGGAAAAGUGUGGUUAUAUGUACCCAUGGCGACUGUCCCCGGAGUACAACUCGGGCUCACCCAGUAAAUCCAUAGCUAGUAACAGUCACAGGAAACCAGAACAAUGUCAGUGAUAGAGGGGCUCUCCCUCAGCAUAUGACCGGUAUGAGCAUUCAAUAAUAACAAGGGGUUUACCCUUAUAUAGUAUAAGAGACAGUGAGGUUCUCAAUAUCACAAAAGGUAACUGUUGCCAUCAGAGCAGCCAGGUGAUAAUAAUACUGGAGGCUCACCCCAGGUGUAUAGCAGAGGAGCACCCAUGUGUGUAACAUAUACAAAUACUGGCAUAGUAGUCACAAUCCCAUGAGACCAGUGUCCAGGCAGGUACUCUAUAGGGGGGCUCUCCCCUAAAAGACCAGCUUCCAACUGUGUACUCAAAUAUAUAUAUGGGGGAUUCACCAGUCAGUCUUUAAUAUUGCAGCGGGUAUGUCAUGGGUAGUUCCAGAGUCACAAACGGCCAGACAAAAUAAGUCAUAGCACCUUCCUCCAUAACUCCAUAUAUUUUCUCUAGGAAUAGUGGAAAAGUAGAAUCAAAUAUAGAAAAUAACUGGCAAUCAUUGAAUAAAUCUGGUAUGCUAGAGGAUAAGUUGCGACCUGCAUAGGGCCUGAUCAUGGUGAAUACCGACCUGGGCCUAAAAUAAAAUGUUCGUCGUGAAUCUAAUGAGCUUCAAUAUGGCCCCUGCAUGCCAUAUUAACUGCUCCCUCAAGCAAGGGUAGAAUGUGUAGAAGGGCAUCCCAACAAUCUGCAAUACUCCUGACCCCCCAGGCUCAUUAUAUACAUUAAUGUAAGCACACAGACCAGGAGAGCAAGAAAGGCCCUACCUGAAGUGGAGAAGGAAAUCGGAGAAAAGUGUAAAAAUAUAUAAACUAAGGAGAUUAAGAGGGUAGACAUGAAGGGACACAGCAAAAGGGUAAAAAGUAAAAUACAAAAUAAAGAAAGUAAACAAUUUAUCAAAUACAAUCAAUAGAACAAUACUAGAGAACCAAAUACUUUGACCUGUUGCAGCAGGAGCAGCAAAGAAAGAGGAGAUGCUUUUGUUGUUGGGCCGUUAUAUCUCCUGCUGAAUUUUUUUAUGAUUGGUUGUUUGUUUAAGUGUAAGGUCUGUUUGCUGCUGGAGUUUAGUAAUGAUGGUUUAAUGCAAAAGCUAUGGAUAUGCCCCUACAUGAACGGGGCUGCUGAGUUGUCAACAGGUCAUGCACACAAGCACAGCUUACCUCUCUCUGGAGAGGUGACAUUGAUCCUUCCUACUUGUGCAUAUAGUGUGUAAGCACUCUUUUGCUGUGCUAGAAGAAUGCAUGCUAGGCUGAUUGCCAUCGCAUAUAAACUUUCCAUAAACUUGGUCUCUUUGAUCCCCUAAUUCCAGAAACCAGGAAGCAAAUCUGGUGCAGUGUGAUAGGACCCACAUUUUUUUACAGUCCUUCUAAACAUGAGACUGUUGCAAAGUUCAUUACUGUGUGUUUUUUACACCAUAUAGCAGGAUUGGCCAAAAAAGAACAAUUAAUGUUGUAAACCUAGGCUGGCAUAGCGUCAUGGGAGUUGUUGUUCUACAGAAGAUGAUAGUCUACGGUAACAUUUGGUCAUCGCUGUCAUAUAGUAAAGUAUGAAAUUUCAGGCCCCUACUGUUAUCUAUUCUGUUUCAUUAAUAUUGUUUCUCUUGGCACCUCAUACAAUCUUUUUAUUUGUUUAGCAAUAGUUAAUGAGAAUUGUUCUGUGGUAAUGUGAAAUAACUCCUCGGAAAAUUGGCCUGUGUAUGAUGAGAUUCUUUUGUUUUCAUGUCAUAGUAAAUUUAUUGCAUUUCAGCAGAUUCGUCAAACUGAGCAUUCUCCUCCCCAACCCCCACCCCGCCAAAAAAAAUAUAUUAAUAGUUGGCUUAAAUUCACAGCUUAUUAAAUAUGUUUUUUUUUCUCUUUUUCCUAUUAAAUAUGGUGGUCACAAAACUUUUAACUAAUUUAUAACCUGUAAAAUGCUGUACAUUUCUACUUUACAAACCCAGAGAGACUUGAGAAAUUAGCAUUUAAUUUUUUGACAUUCUUUAUUUUAAAGUUUUAUCAUUUGAACAAGGUAGUUAACAAUUGGGGGUACAAUAGUAUUAUUGUUUUAACACUUAUAUUGGCUUAUGGAGCAGUCGUAGUGGAUGUGCCCUUUGCGUCCCACGGUUACAGCAGGAGUGACCCUGGUAGUCUGGGCCCUCUUGAAGGUGUGCCUCGGUGUCGACCCGAAUAAUGUGAGCAUGGGAGGCUUGACCUGCCUCUGUGUCACACCCUUCCCUUUGUGUUUGUUCUUCUUUGUUAAUGGAGUGGUUGCGAAGCAUUGUAGCUUGUGUCAGAUACGGGAUGCUUAUUACGCCUGUGUGGGGUGGAGGGGGGACCCCAGCCCUCUUCCCUAUUUGUGGCUGGGACAUGUCAUUCCUCUCAGUCUCCCAGCUUUAGUCUAACCCUUGCUGGGCGGGGGACUGUAUCUUCAGUUAGCAGGUGGGUGUGUGUUACAAGUGUGUGUGAGUUUGACGAGAUCUGCAUUCCUCGUGUCUCUGUCAGUGUAUGGAGGGCUGUGGUGGAGUCAUAUCCUGUGAUUUACGUACGUCCCCCUCUUCUUGUCGCGUGGGUCCUUGCGGGGCCUCUCCCGUCCGCAUCUGUUGUCCCCCUUCCCCUUAAUCACCAUGCACCCUUCUCAGGUGGGAUGAACACGGGUAAGCACGUCUCAUGUUCGUGGAGCUUGUGUGUGUGGGUCUGGUUGUUUGGCGUCAGGGAGCCAGGUGUUCUUUGUUUCCAUGGAUGUCUGGGCAGGGUUAUGUGGGCUAAUGUCUAAGGUCAUGGUGAAGCUGUGGUCUGUGUGGCUGGGUGUGGCUGUCUGUGGUUAGGUAACUGUCCGUUUGCGUGGUUAUCUGUCCGGGGUAGUGUCCACUUGUUCUGUUGUUCGGUAGGUAGUUGGCGAGGUGGAGGGGCGGGUGGGACGAGUGAAUAGUGUGGGAGGAGGGGGGGAGGGGGAGGAACUUGCGCUGCUGCUGACCAGUGCCCUGUAGUUCCUUACUCGGCAACCCAUCCGGGUCCCAGCGGUAUCCGCCCCGGCCCCCACCCGGCCAUGUGUACGAUCCAGGGCGCCCACAGCCGGGUGUUGCGUUCCUGUAUUCCACGUAGCUCAGCUGCCAGGUACUCCAUCGCAAAGAUUUCUUAUACCUUCGCCAUCCAUUGUGGCAAGGUUGGGAUGUCUUUCGAUUACCACCUAGGGGGGAUUAGGCCUUUGGCGGCAUUGAGUAGGUGUCUCGUUAUAGUUUUCUUGUAGCUAGCCAGCAGUGUCCGCAUGUAGUUGAGGAGCACGGGGAGUGGUUCAAAGGGCAUUUCGGAGUCUAGUAUUUCAAUGAGUUUGUUGUGGAUCUGCCGCCAGAAGGCCGCGAUCGGGGGACACGACCGCCAGAUGUGGAGGUCCGUUCCCUCCUCCACCUCGCAGCGCCAGUACGUAUUGGUCGGCACGAUUCCCAUAGCAAACCAUAAAGUCUGGUUGGGGUUCUGCACCAACCGGUCAGGAGCUUAGAGUUGAGCUCUUGUAUUUUGGAGCUGAGUAUUCCUUGGUAGGAGAGGACAUGGAUCUUUUCCCAUUGUUGGUCCUUGAGGGUAGUUCCAGUGGCCUGUUCCCAUUUAGAGCGGAAGUGGGCUGAGGGGCCCUGUUUUGCUGCUUGGAGUAGAGCAUAGAGGGUCGAGAUCCCUUGGGGUAGGUGUUCUUUGCGAGCACAGAGCAUUGCUUUCCCUGUAGGGCCGUAUAGGAGCGUUGCACCUGGUGGUAUCGAUAUCUGAGGAUGCCUGUCGCCCUAGGCUGGGACAGCAUGUCCUCGAUUGGUCGUAGCGUAUUGUUGGCGAGCCAUGCACAGAGGUUUUGAGCCUCACUCCCGCCGAGGCCCUCAAUGUCUCGCAAUGUCAGGCCCCCUGUGAUUUCUUUGUUGUGCAUGACCAGGGUCAGGGGUGACGGGUUUGUUGUGAACCUCAGUUUGUACCAGUUCCUCGUCCAGAUCCCCAGCGUCGCCCCAAUGUAAGGGUAGAUCCUUAGGUCUCCGUCCCGCGUCGGGUUCUGAGUCCAUGUUACCGGUGGUAUUCGGCCGCCAGCUUGCGUUCUUUCUACAGGGAGUGCAGAAUUAUUAGGCAAAUGAGUAUUUUGACCACAUCAUCCUCUUUAUGCAUGUUGUCUUACUCCAAGCUGUAUAGGCUCGAAAGCCUACUACCAAUUAAGCAUAUUAGUUGAUGUGCAUCUCUGUAAUGAGAAGGGGUGUGGUCUAAUGACAUCAACACCCUAUAUCAGGUGUGCAUAAUUAUUAGGCAACUUCCUUUCCUUUGGCAAAAUGGGUCAAAAGAAGGACUUGACAGGCUCAGAAAAGUCAAAAAUAGUGAGAUAUCUUGCAGAGGGAUGCAGCACUCUUAAAAUUGCAAAGCUUCUGAAGCGUGAUCAUCGAACAAUCAAGCGUUUCAUUCAAAAUAGUCAACAGGGUCGCAAGAAGCGUGUGGAAAAACCAAGGCGCAAAAUAACUGCCCAUGAACUGAGAAAAGUCAAGCGUGCAGCUGCCACGAUGCCACUUGCCACCAGUUUGGCCAUAUUUCAGAGCUGCAACAUCACUGGAGUGCCCAAAAGCACAAGGUGUGCAAUACUCAGAGACAUGGCCAAGGUAAGAAAGGCUGAAAGACGACCACCACUGAACAAGACACACAAGCUGAAACGUCAAGACUGGGCCAAGAAAUAUCUCAAGACUGAUUUUUCUAAGGUUUUAUGGACUGAUGAAAUGAGAGUGAGUCUUGAUGGGCCAGAUGGAUGGGCCCGUGGCUGGAUUGGUAAAGGGCAGAGAGCUCCAGUCCGACUCAGACGCCAGCAAGGUGGAGGUGGAGUACUGGUUUGGGCUGGUAUCAUCAAAGAUGAGCUUGUGGGGCCUUUUCGGGUUGAGGAUGGAGUCAAGCUCAACUCCCAGUCCUACUGCCAGUUCCUGGAAGACACCUUCUUCAAGCAGUGGUACAGGAAGAAGUCUGCAUCCUUCAAGAAAAACAUGAUUUUCAUGCAGGACAAUGCUCCAUCACACGCGUCCAAGUACUCCACAGCGUGGCUGGCAAGAAAGGGUAUAAAAGAAGAAAAUCUAAUGACAUGGCCUCCUUGUUCACCUGAUCUGAACCCCAUUGAGAACCUGUGGUCCAUCAUCAAAUGUGAGAUUUACAAGGAGGGAAAACAGUACACCUCUCUGAACAGUGUCUGGGAGGCUGUGGUUGCUGCUGCACGCAAUGUUGAUGGUGAACAGAUCAAAACACUGACAGAAUCCAUGGAUGGCAGGCUUUUGAGUGUCCUUGCAAAGAAAGGUGGCUAUAUUGGUCACUGAUUUGUUUUUGUUUUGUUUUUGAAUGUCAGAAAUGUAUAUUUGUGAAUGUUGAGAUGUUAUAUUGGUUUCACUGGUAAUAAUAAAUAAUUGAAAUGGGUAUAUAUUUGUUUUUUGUUAAGUUGCCUAAUAAUUAUGCACAGUAAUAGUCACCUGCACACACAGAUAUCCCCCUAACAUAGCUAUAACUAAAAACAAACUAAAAACUACUUCCAAAAAUAUUCAGCUUUGAUAUUAAUGAGUUUUUUGGGUUCAUUGAGAACAUGGUUGUUGUUCAAUAAUAAAAUUAAUCCUCAAAAAUACAACUUGCCUAAUAAUUCUGCACUCCCUGUAUGUGUACCCAUUGCUUGUCUGUCGUGAGGAAGUGCCAAUCUAUGAUCCGCAGGAGGUGGGUGGCUUGGUAAUAGGCUUAUAUGGAUGGUAGCCCUGUUCCCCCUCUGUGUCUCGGAAGAGCUAGUUGUGUUUUUCUCGGGGGGCCGGUCGACCAGAUGAACCUGGUUAGUGUGGAGCUCAAGGUGCAGAAGUAGGCCGGUGGAAUCGUGAUCGGAAUGGUUUGGAACAGGUACAAUAAGCGUGGUAGCAGGUUCAUGUUCACGGCAUUGAUUCGUCUGAACCAUGAUACAUACAUGCGUCCCCACCUCAGGAGGUCUUUGCGUAGCGUUUGAAACAUGGGGAGGAAAUUUUCCCUAUAUAACAUGAGGGUUCUUUGGUUAGCCAGAUAGCAAGGUACGUUAUACUGUGUGAGCACCAAUUGAAGGUGAAGUUCGCUGUUAGCCUAUCCACCGUCUCCUGUGGGAGGGAUAGAGGCAGUGCCUCUGAUUUGUCAGUGUUGAGUUUUAAGUUGGAAAUGGUCACGUAUUUGGUGAAGGCGGCUAGGAGAUUGGGCAUUGUGACCGCUGGGUUGCAUAUGAAGAAGAGCAGGUCAUCGGCAUAUGCAGACACCUUGUGUUCCCUUCCGCCGUGUGUUAUCCCCUCGAUGCCCCCGUCCCGUCUGACCACCUCCAGAAAUGGCUCUAGAGAAAGUACAAACAGAAGGGGGGACAGAGGGCAGAGAAAUUAGCAUUUUAACUUUUAGAUGUAACAGCUGUGAGGCCACUCAGUGAAACUAUUUUCCACAUCUAGGCCAAAAUGGAAAUCCAAACCUGUCUAUUAUGGAGCUGAAUUGAGUUACUCGUUAAAAUGCUUCCCCCUUUUCCAAGAUACAUUAUGCAUAAAGUCUCUCAAGGACCUGUUUCUUUCCAGUAACUAUUUGUCAUUUCCAAGUGAACAUCACAAAUAGUAUUAUUAAAAGUGCAGACAUUACCAUGGGGAACUUAGAAACUCUAUAUUAAUCAUCUUUACUUUUAACCCCUUAAGGACCAGUUCACUAUUUGUCGGCACUAGACUGGAAAUAAUGACAAAAUUUCCCUUAACACCACCCACUCUUAAACAUAAUAAUAUAACUAUUACUAUUUACCACCACCAAGACAAUUUAUAAAUUGGGUGCCUUGGUCCCCCAGGUAAUUUAAUAAUAAAAACCCACCAAAUGUAACUUAGCACAAUAUCUAUGUAAUUGCAAAAUACUAAUUAGUCUCUUCAAGUAACAUGAUUCUUUACAAGACAAAGGCAGAACUUAAUAAAGGAAUAUUUAUUAUGAGCAAAAAUAGUCACAGUGCAUACAAAAUAUAGAUGACUAUAGAUGACUGGUGGAAAACUAUAUUUACACAAAUCCACAAAACCUCCAUCUGCAACAGGUUACAAGAAAGUGGAUACAAGAGAAUAUCCAGCUGGCACUACUCGCCGGCGAAAUUACACAACCUCUUCCCGCAGACCCUGGGAACGUGUUGGAAAUGCCACCAACAGGGGCGACCUUAGCGCACAUAUGGUGGCAUUGCCCUAACAUACAAACAUAUUGGAACCACAUAUUGUCAAUUGUCAGAAUAGUGACAGGGCUGACGCUCCCCACAACACCCCAAUCCCUACUCUUCCUACUUCCACACACGCCUCUACCGAAGCCAUUGCGUAAGCUGGUAGUACAAUUACUCUUAGCGGCCAACGCCCUCAUCCCCGCAAAAUGGAAAAACCCGGAGACCCCCACAAUCAGAGAAUGGAUCACAAAGGUAGAUGGGAUUAAAGACUUGGAAGAAAUUCACGCUUCCAUAACACACACAUACCCACUCUUUCGUGAGGUGUGGAGUCCCUGGGAAAAAUUCAUGACCAAACCAGAUCCCACGAUUCACAUCCACACUUAAGGUCACACUAGCGACUGUGCACCGCCUCACAUACAACGAUAAGGUCUGGAUUCAGCACCGGUCUGUCCGAGACCCCCCCACCCCUUCCUCCCCCCAGUUCUAGUCUCCCCCCGCCUUUUUAGUCCUCACCCUAAGCAUCAACCGCAUUAGAUGAAAUGCUCAAGAGAAGCACGCCUACGGUCCAAACGGGCCAUCAGCUGCCACCUUCACGUAUCACAACUCUAACUGAACACAUACAGUGUACCAAGUAGCCGACACUUCCCGUGUUCACAGGAUGAGAAGCUUGCCCACACACCGAUCCGGAAAGUCGUCUCACACACCGACAAAUAGUGGUGACGAAAGCGUACAACACUUAAACCACGAGCCGACGAGACAGGCUUCAUGCUACGCCAAAAAACACUUGGCCUAAGUAAGAGUUUACCCACCUCCACAACUAGACGCUCACAACCCGCUCUGCGGGCACGACGUACUGGUUUUAUGAUGACUGGAAAUACACCCUGCAAAGUGAUAAGUGAUAGACACACAAACCAUGACAAGACUCAACGGGACAAGACUCCCCCUCCCCCACCAUGUUUAUUCUGAGUAGCCACAGUUCUCAACCACCCAUGUCGGUACAGAAUAGACAUAUACCUAACCCGUGUAACCCUUCCUGUACCUUUUAAACACCAUGUACUUCUCUAUUAUCUAACUCUGUAAUGUGCGUUUAUGACAAUAAAGACUUUGAAAAAAAAAAAUAUAGAUGACAAUCAAAUUAGUUGCACCAACAACAGAUAAAAACAAAAGGGAUAAAAUUACAAAAGUCCUAAUCACUUACUCGGCUUUUCAAAGUAAAACUUCUGCCCCAGGGGGUCUCUGGUAAGAAAGAUGGAGACUCACUUAGAAUUAGAUUUCUGGCCCCUCAAGCAAGUACAAAGACACAUUUCAGAAUCAUUAGACAUAUACCCUGUGGGUAUAUAUAUUAUCAAGCCUCGCCAAGAGGUGGAGAUAAGAUGUACCUAUAGUAACUAUAUGGGACCACCCCCUUGUGUUCCAGACUAACAUCAAUCCAAAUGGAAACAUUUGGUUCUAUCUGCUCUUAUGUACUUGCCACAGAAACAAUUGCAUCUAUGAAUUGAUUACCAUUUUCCCAAUCCAUAGAUAUGUCACACUUCUUACUUGUGACCCAAUAUAGCAGACAUCACAAUCCCUUUCCCUAUGGUUAAGUUAUGCAAAUCAUGUUUGUGCUUGAUUAGAAGAUUGUGCUGGUCACAUUCCAAAUAUAACAAAAAUAUUGCUUAAUUAUUUUUCUGUGAGUAAAUAUUAGUUUCUUUCUUUUGGAUAUCAUACUGGAAAACAAGACUUUUUUCUCUUUUCUUGGAAGCUAAUGAUCAUUAACAUAUCAAAGAAAUCCACUCAUCAAUUAAAAGUUACAGGCCAUAUGGCUGAAACCAGGUAGUUUACAUUGGGACCAGACAUUCAGGUUUUUUAAGUGUAGAAUCUAACACCUUGCAGAGCCUUUGAUUGAUCAAAGGAUCCAUCCAUAAAUAUAGUAUUAUCAUAUUCCUUCUGAUGAACCAUUUUUCUAAAAUAAACAGAUUUACAUUUGUUAACCUUUCUUCAUUGCUAAAAUGUUCCAUUCCUUUUAUUAAUUUUAUAGUCCGCCUCUGCGCCUUUUUUAGUACCAUAAUAUCUUUCUUUUGAAUAGGUGCCCAAAAUUGAUUGGAAUAUUCAAGGUGAGGUCUUACCAUUGCGUUAUAAAGAAGCAAAAAUUAUAUUUUUGUCCCAUGAAAUAAAGCCUCUUUUCAUACAUAACCAUGCCUUGCUGGCCUUAGCAAUUGGUGAUUAAGAUUGGGCAUUGUUGUCGAUAACAAUUAAAAAAUCCUUCUCAUAUGUAUUCCCUAAUUCACUACCAUUUAAGGUGUAAGUUGCUUGUGCAUUCUUUACCCCAAAGUGUAUAACUUUUUGUUUAUCUACAUUAAAUUGCAUAUGCUAUUUGAGUGCCCAGUCACCUAAUCUAUUUAACUCGUUCUGUAGCAAAUUAAUAUCCUUCUCACCGUGUAUUAUUUUAUCUAUGCCUUUUUCCAGAUUGAGUAGAAGUGAUCCUAAAACAGAACCCUCAGACUACUUACCACUUUUGUCAAGCUUGAAAACUUACCAUUUAUGACAAUUCUCUGGACUCUAUCUUUUUUAUGAGGAUGUGGAUGCUCACUGGUGUGAAGGCAGCAAUGGAAGCAACAGCUAUGUCAUGUUCACUAAAUUUCCAACAAGUUUGUAGGAGAGACGUCUCACCUGGAGGAUAUUUCUUCAGAGUUUCAUUCUGUUUCUUCCUAUACAGUUAGGUCUGGACAUAUUUGGACACUGACACAAUUUUCAUAAAUUUGGCUUUUGUACACCACCACAAUGGAUUUGAAAUAAAACAACCGAGAUACAAUUGAAGUGCAGACUUUCAGCUUUCAUUUAAGAGUUUGAACAAAAAAUAUGAAUGAAACAUUUAACAAUUGCAACCAUUUUUUAUACACAGUCCCCUUAUUUCAGGGGCUCAAAUGUAAUUAGACAAAUGAACACAAUCAUAAAUAAAAUGUUAAUUUUAAAUACUUUGUUGAGAAUCAUUUGCAGGCAAUGACUGCUUGAAGUCUGGAAUUUGUGGACAAAUGCUAGGUUUCCACAUUUACCAGGCCUUUACUGCAGUUGUCUUUAGUUUUUGUUUGUUCGUGGACCUUAAGUUUUAACCUCAGCAAGUGAGAGGCAUGCUUGAUUGGGUUGAGAUCACGUGAUUGACUUGGUAUUACAAAAUAUUCCACUUCUUCGCCUUAAAAAACUCCUGGGUUGCUUUCCCAGUAUGUUUUGGGUCAUUGUCCAUAUCUCAAGUGAAGCACUGUUCAAUCAACUCACUGAAUUUGCCUGAAUCUGAGCAGACAAUAUAUCCCUAUACACUUCAGAAUUUAUCCAGCUUCUUCUGUCUUUUAUCACAUCAUCAAUUUACACUAGUCAGUGCCAUUGGAAGCCAUGCCCAUGCUAUCACACUGCCUCCACUGUGUUUUACAGAUGACGUGGUAUGCUUCUGAUCAUGAGCUAUUCCAAGCCUUCUCUAAACCUUGCCAUACCUGGAAUCAACUCCAGAUCUUUUACCUGCUUAGUUGAUGAAGAAAUAACAAAGGAAUAGCCCUCACCUGUCAACGAAACAGCUUUUGAGUCAAUCGUCCAAUUACUUUUGGUCUCUUGAAAAUGAGGGGGCUACAUACUAAAGAGCUGUAAUUCCCAAACUUUUCCUCCAAUUUGUAUGUGAAUACCCUUAAUUUAAAUCUGAGAGACUACAUUUUAAGCCUGUAUUCAUUAAUUAACUGGUAACUUGAAGUUAAUUUGGUAAACAGCCGUAAUAACAAAACUUGUGUCAGUGUUCAAAUAUUUUCCAGACCUAACUGUAUAACUUGUAGGGUUCUCCAUCUGCUUUAUUG
rnacentral:lncRNA from 1 species